rnacentral:rRNA from 1 species
AGUGAACGCUGGCGGUAGGCCUAACACAUGCAAGUCGAACGGCAGCACAGUAAGAGCUUGCUCUUACGGGUGGCGAGUGGCGGACGGGUGAGGAAUACAUCGGAAUCUACUUUUUCGUGGGGGAUAACGUAGGGAAACUUACGCUAAUACCGCAUACGACCUACGGGUGAAAGCAGGGGAUCUUCGGACCUUGCGCGAUUGAAUGAGCCGAUGUCGGAUUAGCUAGUUGGCGGGGUAAAGGCCCACCAAGGCGACGAUCCGUAGCUGGUCUGAGAGGAUGAUCAGCCACACUAGAACUGAGACACGGUCCAGACUCCUACGGGAGGCAGCAGUGGGGAAUAUUGGACAAUGGGCGCAAGCCUGAUCCAGCCAUACCGCGUGGGUGAAGAAGGCCUUCGGGUUGUAAAGCCCUUUUGUUGGGAAAGAAAAGCAGCAGGUUAAUACCCAGCUGUUCUGACGGUACCCAAAGAAUAAGCACCGGCUAACUUCGUG